GACGAACGCUGGCGGCGUGCUUAACACAUGCAAGUCGAGCGGAAAGGCCCUUUCGGGGGUACUCGAGCGGCGAACGGGUGAGUAACACGUGAGUAAUCUGCCCCUGGCUUUGGGAUAGCCACCGGAAACGGUGAUUAAUACCGGAUACGACCACUUCUCGCAUGGGAUGGUGAUGGAAAGUUUUUCGGCCAGGGAUGUGCUCGCGGCCUAUCAGCUUGAUGGUGAGGUAAUGGCUCACCAUGGCUUCGACGGGUAGCCGGCCUGAGAGGGUGGCCGGUCACACUGGGACUGCGACACGGCCCAGACUCCUGCGGGAGGCAGCAGUGGGGAAUAUUGGACAAUGGGCGGAAGCCUGAUCCAGCAACGCCGCGUGAGGGAUGACGGCCUUCGGGUUGUAAACCUCUUUCAGCAGGGACGAAGCGCAAGUGACGGUACCUGCAGAAGAAGCACCGGCCAACUACGUGCCAGCCGCCGCGGUAA
rnacentral:rRNA from 1 species